AUGCAGCAGAGGAUGAAGCAGGCGGCGGCGGUAGCGGCGCAGCAGCAGCAGCAGAUGAUGCAGCAGGCGCUACUCAUGCACCACCACCAGCAGCAGGCGGCGGCCGCGGCGGCCGCGGUGCCGCCCAUGUUCCCGCCGCACCACGCGCACCCGGGUCUCCUCGCCGCGCCGCAUAUAGAGCCCAUCGUUAGUGGGAACCUGCCUCCUGGGUUUGAUUCAAGCACGUGCCGCAGUGUGUAUGUUGGCAAUAUCCAUCUUCAAGUCACAGAUUCACUACUGCAUGAAGUUUUCCAGAGUAUUGGUCCAGUUGAAGGGUGUAAGCUCAUUAGGAAAGAAAAGUCAUCUUUUGGUUUUGUUGACUAUUAUGACCGUAGAUAUGCUGCAAUUGCUAUUGUGUCACUCAAUGGUAGACAACUGUUUGGCCAGCCAAUAAAAGUCAAUUGGGCAUACGCAAGUACCCAGAGAGAGGAUACAUCAGGUCAUUUUAACAUCUUUGUCGGGGAUCUUUGCCCGGAGGUUACGGAUGCUGCUUUGUUUGCUUUUUUCUCGGCAUAUUCUACCUGUUCAGAUGCUAGAGUUAUGUGGGAUCAGCAGACUGGACGAUCUAGAGGGUUUGGUUUCGUUUCUUUUAGGAAUCAGCAGGAUGCACAAACUGCCAUGAAUGAGUUGAAUGGAAAGUGGCUUGGCAACCGCCAAAUUCGUUGCAAUUGGGCGACGAAGGGCGCUAAUGCUGGUGAAGAGAAGCAAAGUACAGACUCCAAGGGUAUGGUGGAAUUGAUAAACGGCUCAUCAGAGGCUGGCAAGGAGAAUGCAAACGAAGAUGGUCCUGAAAAUAACCCACAGUAUACAACUGUUUAUGUUGGCAAUCUUCCCCAUGAUAUCAACAGCAAUGAUGUGCAUCGAUUUUUCCAUUUACUCGGGGCUGGCUCAAUUGAGGAGGUCCGUGUAACACGCGAUAAAGGAUUUGGCUUUGUGAGAUAUAGUACCCAUGAAGAAGCUGCACAAGCAAUACAGACGGGUAAUGGCCAACUUAUUGGCGGGAGGCAGAUCAAGUGCUCUUGGGGAAGCAAACCAACUCCACCAGGGACAGCAUCUGCGCCUCUGCCUCCUCCGGCAUUAGCGCCAUACACCCCUGGCGUGUCAGCAGCUGACCUCAUCUCCUACGACCGAUCCCUUGCUCUGAGCAAGAUGGCUGCUGACCCGGCCCUGGUGGGUCAGCACGCCGCCCUGAGGCAGGCCGCGAUGGAUAUGGGCGCCGGCGCCCGCAAGGCCAUCUUUGACGGGGGCUUCCAGAGUGUCAACCCUCAGCAGCAGCAGCAGCAACAGCAGCAGCUCAUGUACUACUGA
rnacentral:rRNA from 1 species